rnacentral:tRNA from 1 species
CAGAGAAUAGUUUAAGGACUAGAACACCAGUUUUGGGAAUUGGUAGUAGGAGUUAAACUCUCCUUUCUUUGA